rnacentral:piRNA from 1 species
UGUAAACUUAUAAGCUACAGGAAACC